GAUGAACGCUGGCGGCGUGCCUAAUACAUGCAAGUCGUACGGAAAGGCCCUUCGGGGUACUCGAGUGGCGGACGGCUGAGUAACGCGUGGGAACGUGCCCCAAAGUGAGGGAUAACGCACCGAAAGGUGUGCUAAUACCGCAUAUGGUCUUCGGAUUAAAGCUUCGGCGCUUUGGGAGCGGCCCGCGUACGAUUAGAUAGUUGGUGUGGUAAUGGCUCACCAAGUCGACGAUCGUUAGCUGGUCUGAGAGGAUGAUCAGCCAGACUGGGACUGAGACACGGCCCAGACUCCUACGGGAGGCAGCAGUAGGAAUCUUCCACAAUGGGGGCAACCCUGAUGGAGCAACGCCGCGUGCAGGAUGAAGGUUUUCGGAUCGUAAACUGCUUUUAUAAGUGAAGAAUAUGACGGUAACUUAUGAAUAAGGAUCGGCUAACUACGUGCCAGCAGCCGCCGUAA
rnacentral:rRNA from 1 species